rnacentral:rRNA from 1 species
UACGUAGGUGGCAAGCGUUGUCCGGAAUUAUUGGGCGUAAAGCGCGCGCAGGCGGUCCUUUAAGUCUGAUGUGAAAGCCCACGGCUCAACCGUGGGGGGUCAUUGGAAACUGGGGGACUUGAGUGCAGAAGAGGAGAGUGGAAUUCCACGUGUAGCGAUGAAAUGCGUAGAGAUGUGGAGGAACACCAGUGGCGAAGGCGACUCUCUGGUCUGUAACUGACGCUGAGGCGCGAAAGCGUGGGGAGCAAACAGG